UUUCUACUCCCUCCGUCCGAAAAUACUUGUCAUCAAAAUGGAUAAAAAGAGAUGUAUCUAAAACUAAAAUACGUCUAGAUACAUUUCCUUUUAUCCAUUUUGAUGACAAGUAUUUGCGGACGGAGGGAGUAUUUG
rnacentral:pre_miRNA from 1 species